GGUUAAGCGACUAAGCGUACACGGUGGAUGCCCUGGCAGUCAGAGGCGAUGAAGGACGUACUAAUCUGCGAUAAGCGUCGGUAAGGUGAUAUGAACCGUUAUAACCGGCGAUUUCCGAAUGGGGAAACCCAGUGUGAUUCGUCACACUAUCAUUAACUGAAUCCAUAGGUUAAUGAGGCGAACCGGGGGAACUGAAACAUCUAAGUACCCCGAGGAAAAGAAAUCAACCGAGAUUCCCCCAGUAGCGGCGAGCGAACGGGGAGCAGCCCAGAGCCUGAAUCAGU
rnacentral:rRNA from 1 species